GCAAGGCUUCGCGAUGGCCGGCAGUAACACCGGAAGCGUCAAGAUCGCUGGAGGAAUCGAUCGGCUCCUUCCUUUGGAUCUAUCUUUUGAUCUCGCAUUGAGUUGGUGUCUGACAUGGAGAAAGUGAUCUGUCAGUGUAUUGAUUUUUGCGGUUUUCUUCCAGAAAAAUCUUGGAUUAAAAGGACGAACCAAGUUCGAUACAGAACAAAGUCUUGUCAAAAGGGCUGGGUAAUUGGAAAGCAAAACUGGCAAAUUUCUACUGGAUCUAUAGAUAAACUACUCUUGAUUUCAUGUUUAACCGAAUUGAUUAUCAUCAACUUGCUUGGAUAAUGGAUAGUGCUCAUAUUUGAAGAAUUUUGUCAGUGUUAAGUGUUGCAUUUUGGUACCUGAUAGCCAUAGCAUCAUAUAUAGUGGCCUUAGUGAAGUAUCAUCACGAAGAAUAGUUCAGAAUCAUGAUUCACUGUUCAUUUACUUGGUUAUGUCGGCUGCUUUGCGUCACACAACAGCAAGGUCCAGAUCGGCUUCAACGAUAUUACAGUCUUCUCAUUGUCUAACACUGCUGACCAAGAGUCAGAGUACCCAACACAAAGCACUGCUGACAUGACUGCAUUUGUGAGUCUAUCAGUUUGUCUGUCUUGAAAUUUCACAGGGAUUGUCGUCUUGCCGACAAACAUAGUCAUACGUUCCAAUGUUGAUAAUGCAGCAAGUCAAUCUCUAUUAAACCUUUCUAUUGAAAUGGUUGUUUGAAUUUAACUUCUUGAUAUACUAUUAGUAUAAUUUACAUAAACAAGGUACUUCAUUAACCCAUUUCUUUUGGUUGCAGCUCCAAAACCUUCUAGUGCAGAUGGUAUGAUAUUUUUUCUUCAUUCAGCAAUAGUUUUGCUCACUUAACAGUUAUUUUUGUUCUAUUAUAUUUGAUGCUUAAAACGUAUAUAGCCUUUUGCAGCAAAGUAGGUUCCAGGCAAUGUCUGAGGGCAUCCUCUUGAAGAAUAUCCUUUCUAUACACGGGCAAUAAGUAUACUUUUAAGAAGCUCCUUUUUUGGCCUUUUGUAGAACUAUUGAAGGCAAAAACACCAUGAACAUAUAGUUUACACCAAUACUCCCUUUAUAAUUUACAUAGCUAAACAACAAACCUAUUGAAUCGAUUUUCAAUUGCAAAUUGAUAUCUAUACGUCCAGAUGGACUAAAGGAGCUGUUAGUAUUAACCCUAAGAGCCAAUUAUGAGAUGAUUAAGCUUAUUGGGUUAAUGAAUACGAAUUGACUUAUUGGGUUAAUGAUUAAUUCAAUAUACUAAAAUCUAACCCAUUAAAGAUGAUUAAUGGAGAUUAAUUAUGCAUUGAAAAAGGAAGAUCAUUGAGUUAGAUUCAAAUGGAUUCAACUAUUAGAUUGAGUUCAAUUCAAAUUAGACUCAUGGAAUUAGUUCGGAUUGAUGAGGAUCAAUGAGUUAGACUCAUUGGGUGAACUCGAAUUCAUCAAGGGAGAGGAAAGGUUAAUUUUGAAUUAACCAAAAGACUUAAUUAGAUAAUUAAUGUCAAUUAAGACAAUUGAUUGAAUAAAUACACAAGGGGGUUUUGAUUCAUUUGAUGUAUAACACUUGUGUUCUUCCACCUGUUUGUCUCCUUCUUCCUCUUUGGCCGAAACCUCCUUGUUUGGUUGCUAGCACAAACUUAGCUGGUUUUUCUUCUCCGAGUUUGUGAGUUCGUAAGACGGAUGGAACAUGUUUCUGUGGAUACCAAAAGAGGCGCGAAUACUUGAUCACGCUGAGAUUCAACGAGGACAAAGUUGCUGUCGGGAGUUCGUGUUUACACAACAAAGUACACUAGAUGAAAUGGGAAGCAAGAUUGACGAACUGGAGCAGAGCAUCAAUGAUCUCAAAGCUGAGAUUGGGGUGGAGGAUUCAGCCUAACCUCGUGAUACUGCAUGAGGUAAUCAGUCAAAUCCCGAAGUGUUUAAAGAGUUGAUUUUGUGAUUAAAUAUGGCCCGUUGCGCCUGAUAUAGAUUUUUUGAAUCCUUUUACGGGUGUUUCUGAAAGAAUAAUAUAAUCAUUUCUUUAUCAA